rnacentral:rRNA from 1 species
GUACACGCUGUGACUAGCAUAUCAAUAAGCGGAGGAAAAGAAACUAACAAGGAUUCCCCUAGUAACGGCGAGUGAAGCGGGAAGAGCUCAAAUUUGAAAUCUUAAAGGGUUUCCCUUUACGAAUUGUAGUUUAAAGAAGUGUUUUCUGUUGAGGUUUUGGUAAAAGUUCUUUGGAAUAGGACAUCAUAGAGGGUGAGAAUCCCGUAUUUGACCUUUACUUUCAACUUUGUGAUACACUUUCAAAGAGUCGGAUUGUUUGGGAAUGCAGUCCAAAAUGGGUGGUAAAUUUCAUCUAAAGCUAAAUAUUGGCGAGAGACCGAUAGCGAACAAGUACCGUGAGGGAAAGAUGAAAAGAACUUUGAAAAGAGAGUUAAACAGUACGUGAAAUUGUCAAAAGGGAAGCGUUUGACACCAGUGUUGUUUUUCUGAAAAUCAAUUAAAGAACUGUUUAUGCUAAGUUGUUUAGACUUUAUCAGCUAACUGUUUAGUUUUGAGCUUUUCUUUAAUGCACUUUUCAGUUAACAAGUCAACAUCAAUUUCUUUUGCUGUAAAAAAGCUUGAGGAAGGUGGCUUGAGAUUCGUCUUAAGUGUUUAUAGCCUCUUGCCUAUGCAGUCGGAGAGAUUGAGGUCUGCAGCGUAGAUCCUUCGGGGCUAAAUGCAUUUGUGCUAAGUUACAGCAUUUCAUAGACAACUUGUUGACUAUGAUUUGUCUUGUAGCUUACUCGCUUACGUUAUUUUACCUACGCUUAGGAUGUUGACAGCAGUAUAGACUGU